GCCGGGUGUGGUGGUGGACGCCUGUAAUCCCAGCUACUUGGGAGGCUGAGACAGGAUAAUUGCUCGAACCCAGGAGGUUGCAGUGAGCCGAGAUCGUGCCAUUGCACUCCAUCCAACCUGGGUAACAGAGCAAGACUCUGUCUCCA
rfam:Gorilla gorilla gorilla genomic chromosome, chr2A, whole genome shotgun sequence